rnacentral:rRNA from 1 species
GAGUUUGAUCGUGGCUCAGGAUGAACGCUGGCGGCGUGCCUAAUACAUGCAAGUCGAGCGAACGGACGAGAAGCUUGCUUCUCUGAUGUUAGCGGCGGACGGGUGAGUAACACGUGGAUAACCUACCUAUAAGACUGGGAUAACUUCGGGAAACCGGAGCUAAUACCGGAUAAUAUUUUGAACCGCAUGGUUCAAAAGUGAAAGACGGUCUUGCUGUCACUUAUAGAUGGAUCCGCGCUGCAUUAGCUAGUUGGUAAGGUAACGGCUUAUCAAGGCAACGAUGCAUAGCCGACCUGAGAGGGUGAUCGGCCACACUGGAACUGAGACACGGUCCAGACUCCUACGGGAGGCAGCAGUAGGGAAUCUUCCGCAAUGGGCGAAAGCCUGACGGAGCAACGCCGCGUGAGUGAUGAAGGUCUUCGGAUCGUAAAACUCUGUUAUUAGGGAAGAACAUAUGUGUAAGUAACUGUGCACAUCUUGACGGUACCUAAUCAGAAAGCCACGGCUAACUACG